rnacentral:rRNA from 1 species
AGGUUAAGUUAACAAGGGCGCAUGGUGAAUGCCUUGGCACUAGGAGCCGACGAAGGACGGGACUAACACCGAUAUGCUUCGGGGAGCUGUACGUAAGCUAUGAUCCGGAGAUUUCCGAAUGGGGCAACCCAGCAGUUUUAAUCAACUGUUACCACUAGAUGAAUUCAUAGUCUAGUUGGAGGUAAACGCUGUGAACUGAAACAUCUCAUUAGCAGCAGGAAUAUAAAGAAAUUUCGAUUCCCUAAGUAGCGGCGAGCGAACGGGGAACAGCCCAAACCAAAGUGCUUGCACUUUGGGGUUGUAGGACUGAACAUUUGAGUUACCAAAGAACUUGAUAGUCGAAGGAUUUGGGAAAAUCCGCCAUAGAUGGUGAUAGCCCAGUAGAUUAAAUCAAAUUCUCUCAGUUCAGGAUCCUGAGUACGGCGGAACACGUGAAAUUCCGUCGGAAUCCGGGAGGACCAUCUCCCAAGGCUAAAUACUACCUAGUGACCGAUAGUGAACCAGUACCGUGAGGGAAAGGUGAAAAGCACCCCGGGAGGGGAGUGAAAUAGUUCCUGAAACCAUGUGCCUACAAUAAGUCAGAGCGCGUUAAUGCGUGAUGGCGUGCCUUUUGUAGAAUGAACCGGCGAGUUAUGAUCCCGUGCAAGGUUAAGACUAAAAAGUCGGAGCCGUAGCGAAAGCGAGUCUGAAAUGGGCGUUUUGAGUACGAGGUUAUAGACCCGAAACCAGGUGACCUAUCCAUGUCCAGGUUGAAGGUGCGGUAAAACGCACUGGAGGACCGAACCCGUGUAAGUUGAAAAUUGCUGGGAUGAGGUGUGGAUAGCGGUGAAAUUCCAAACGAACUUGGAGAUAGCUGGUUCUCUCCGAAAUAGCUUUAGGGCUAGCCUCGGAAUUAGGAUCAUGGAGGUAGAGCACUAUUUGGACUAGGGGCCCGUCUUGGGUUACUGAAUUCAGAUAAACUCCGAAUGCCAUUGAUUCAUAUCCGGGAGUCAGACGAUGAGUGAUAAGAUCCACCGUCGAAAGGGGAACAGCCCAGACCAUCAGUUAAGGUCCCUAAAUGUAUGCUAAGUGGAAAAGGAUGUGGAGUUGCAUAGACAACUAGGAUGUUGGCUCAGAAGCAGCCACCAUUUAAAGAGUGCGUAAUAGCUCACUAGUCGAGUGAUCCUGCGCCGAAAAUGUACCGGGGCUAAGCAUACUACCGAAACCAUGGAUGCGACCAUUAGGUCGCGUGAUAGGAGAGCGUUCUAAGGGCGGUGAAGCAAGAUCGUGAGGACUUGUGGAGCGCUUAGAAGUGAGAAUGCCGGUAUGAGUAGCGAAAGAUAGGUGAGAAUCCUAUCCACCGAAUGACUAAGGUUUCCUGGGGAAGGCUCGUCCUCCCAGGGUUAGUCGGGACCUAAGUCGAGGCCGAGAGGCGUAGACGAUGGAUAACAGGUUGAGAUUCCUGUACUAGUUAAGUGCGUUUGAGCAAUGGAGGGACGCAGGAGGCUAAGAUGUGCAUUCUGUUGGAUUAGAAUGUCCAAGCAGUAAGUCUUGUGAAGAGUCAAAUGCUUUUCACUUUAAGGACAAGCUGUGAUGGGGAGCGAAAUUUAGUAGCGAAGCGUCUGAUGUCACACUGCCGAGAAAAGCUUCUAGUGAGUACUUAACUACCCGUACCGCAAACCGACACAGGUAGUCGAGGAGAGAAUCCUAAGGUGAGCGAGUGAACUCUCGUUAAGGAACUCGGCAAAAUGACCCCGUAACUUCGGGAGAAGGGGUGCUGAUCGCAAGAUCAGCCGCAGUGAAUAGGCCCAGGCGACUGUUUAUCAAAAACACAGGUCUCUGCAAAAUCGUAAGAUGACGUAUAGGGGCUGACGCCUGCCCGGUGCUGGAAGGUUAAAAGGAUGGGUUAGCUUCGGCGAAGCUCAGAAUUGAAGCCCCAGUAAACGGCGGCCGUAACUAUAACGGUCCUAAGGUAGCGAAAUUCCUUGUCGGGUAAGUUCCGACCCGCACGAAAGGCGUAACGAUCUGGGCACUGUCUCAACGAGAGACUCGGUGAAAUUAUAUUGUCCGUGAAGAUGCGGACUACCCGCGACAGGACGGAAAGACCCCAUGGAGCUUUACUGUAGCUUGAUAUUGAGUGUUUGUACAGCUUGUACAGGAUAGGUAGGAGCCAUAGAAACCGGAACGCUAGUUUCGGUGGAGGCGUUGGUGGGAUACUACCCUCGCUGUAUGACCACUCUAACCCGCACCACUAAUCGUGGUGGGAGACAGUGUCAGGUGGGCAGUUUGACUGGGGCGGUCGCCUCCUAAAAAGUAACGGAGGCGCCCAAAGGUUCCCUCAGAAUGGUUGGAAAUCAUUCGCAGAGUGUAAAGGCACAAGGGAGCUUGACUGCGAGACAGACAGGUCGAGCAGGGACGAAAGUCGGGCUUAGUGAUCCGGUGGUACCGUAUGGAAGGGCCAUCGCUCAACGGAUAAAAGCUACCCUGGGGAUAACAGGCUUAUCUCCCCCAAGAGUCCACAUCGACGGGGAGGUUUGGCACCUCGAUGUCGGCUCAUCGCAUCCUGGGGCUGUAGUCGGUCCCAAGGGUUGGGCUGUUCGCCCAUUAAAGCGGUACGCGAGCUGGGUUCAGAACGUCGUGAGACAGUUCGGUCCCUAUCCGUCGCGGGCGUAGGAAAUUUGAGAGGACCUGUCCUUAGUACGAGAGGACCGGGAUGGACAUACCUCUGGUGUACCAGUUGUGCCGCCAGGCGCAUCGCUGGGUAGCUACGUAUGGAUGUGAUAAACGCUGAAAGCAUCUAAGUGUGAAACACACCUCGAGAUGAGAUUUCCCAUUCCUUUAUGGAAGUAAGACCCCUGAAAGAUGAUCAGGUAGAUAGGUUAGAAGUGGCAGUGCGGUGACGCAUGAAGCGGACUAAUACUAAUCGGUCGAGGACUUAACCAAG